rnacentral:rRNA from 1 species
UUUGACCUCAAAUCAGGUAGGACUACCCGCUGAACUUAAGCAUAUCACUAAGCGGA